CUGCCAGAGUAGGAAAAGAGGCCGUAGGUCCCUGUGGGGAAACUCACCGUAAGGAGAGAGGAAUGAAGAUUAGUAUCUUGGAAUCAGCAUCUGGGUCUGAGCUGUGUUAGCGGAAUGAUUACCUGCGGUUGUGUGCAAAGCCUUUGUUAGGCUAACGCUUGAAGAUGAAAGUGUUCUGAAUGUUCCUUGGAGAAAAAUGUGAAAAAUAUAUGAAUGCACAUGAGUUUAAGAUUCUUUCAAGAAAAUGGUCGUAAUUUUGCAACGUCUUUUUAUACAGGAAAACAAAGAUACAGGAACUGAAUUGAACCACAAGAAGGGUAUCCUCCUUUUCCUUUCAUUUACAGUGAUAAUAGCCAUCACAGUAGAGAAUGGAGAUUCCCAACAUACUGGAGAGCUUUCAGUUUUUCCUCUGGGAGGUAUUUGUGUUCAUGACGCGUCCUUUUCACUCAGUUGUUGUGUGGGGAUAUGCGCCAGUCUUUAAGUUUCAAGAAUGUUGGAAAAUAUGGGAAUAUUAACCUAAAAAAGAACAAGAAGACUAAACAAACAAACAGCAUCUUCAUUUAAAGAAUUUAUUUACAAUAAGCAUGCAAAUCCUUUUUUGGCUCCUUGGAAAGUCUGAGACUUAUCAAUUUUCUAGAAUUUCAUAUCAGGCUGAAAGAAAUAUGCUGUGAAUUAUUGUAAAACACAUAAAUUUAUUUUGGCAGGUCUUUUUAAAUUUUUUUUUUAAUGUUUAUUUAUUUUUGAGAGAUAGAGACAGAGCAUGAGCAGGGAAGGGGCAGGGAUAGAGGGAGACACAGGAUCUGAAACAGGCUCCAAGCUCCGAGCUGCCAGCACAGAGCCCAAUGCGGGGCUCGAACUCAUGAACCACGAGAUCAUGACCUGAGCCAAAGUCAGAUGCUCAACCGACAGAGCCACCCAGGCACACCUGUUUUAGCAGAUCUUUUAAACAGGAAUUUAAGGGGCGCCUGGGUGGCGCAGUCGGUUAAGCAUCCAAUUUCAGCCAGGUCAUGAUCUCUCAGCCCGUGAGUUCAAGCCCCGCGUCAGGCUCUGGGCCGAUAGCCCAGAGCCUGGAGCCUGUUUCCGAUUCUGUGUCUCCCUCUCUCUCUGCCCCUACCCCGUUCAUGCUCUGUCUCUCUCUGUCCCAAAAAUAAAUAAAAACGUUAAAAAUUUUUUUAAACA
rnacentral:lncRNA from 1 species